AUGGUCCAGCAGACCGCCCGCCAGCUGCAUAACCUUCGCGUGCCUCGUUUUCUCCUCAAACUUGACAUCACACGCACGUUUGACAUGGUAUCCUGGGCCUUCCUCCUCGACGUGCUCAGCCACCUGGGCUUCGAACGGCGGUGGAUCGAGUGGAUUGCCAUCUUACUCUCCACGUCCAGCACGAGCGUCCUCAUCAAUGGAUCCCCAGGCCCCCCAGCCCACGCUUGCGGUCUGCGGCAAGGCGGUCCCGUUUCCCCGAUGUUGUUUACCAUUGCCAUCGAUGCCCUCAACUCACUCCUCAUCCACGCCCACCGCAGCGGCCUCCUUCAGCGACUCACCGGUCGACACGCCCCUUCGAGCAUCUCCCUCUAUGCCAACGACGUGAUCAUCUUCUGCCAUCCCUCGACCCGCGAUCUCCGGGUCAUUUGGGAGCUGUUGCGUGUCUUUGGCGAGGCAUCUGGGCUCUGCACGAACUUUCCUAAGUGUUCGGCAACCUCGACCCGCUGCGACGACCCCAUGCGAGCUACCAUCGAGUUUGAGCUCGCAUGCGUUGUCAUGGACCUCCCUAUCACAUACAUGUGCAUCCCUCUCUCACUCCGGAGACCGUCCGCCUCGUCGCUCUGGCCGAUUGUGGAGAAGCUUGCCAAGAAGCUUUCCUCCUGGCGCGCAAUGCUCCUAUCCCACGGCGAGCGACUUGCCCUCGUCCGCCACGUGCUAUGCGCGAUCCCCUCCCACAUCAUGGUCGUCAUCGCUCGCUGCCUGAUGAUUAUCAAGCAGGUGAAUCGGACCAUCCGAGAAUUCCUUUGGCAUGGCAAUAAGGAGACCCGUGUUGGUCAUGGACCGGUGAACUGGCAGCGCAUCUGCCGGCCCCUCCAUCUUGGCGAGCUUGGCAUCCCGGACCUCCAUCGGCAAGGGAUAUCGCUCCGUGUGCGCUGGUUGUGGCUGCAGCGCACCGACCCGGCUAGUGAAGGAAAUAUGCCCUAG
rnacentral:rRNA from 1 species